rnacentral:rRNA from 1 species
UGGGGAAUUUUGCACAAUGGGCGCAAGCCUGAUGCAGCGACGCCGCGUGAGGGAUGAAGGCCUUCGGGUUGUAAACCUUUUUCGCUCAUGGUCAAGCCGCAGCUUUGGGUUGUGGUGAGGGUAGUGGGUAAAGAAGCGCCGGCUAACUACGUGCCAGCAGCCGCGGUAAUACGUAGGUGGCAAGCGUUGUCCGGAAUUAUUGGGCGUAAAGCGCGCGCAGGUGGUUUAGAAAGUCUGAUGUGAAAGCCCACGGCUCAACCGGGGAGGGUCAUUGGAAACUAAUAAACUUGAGUGCAGGAGAGAAAAGUGGAAUUCCUAGUGUAGCGGUGAAAUGCGUAGAGAUUAGGAGGAACACCGGUGGCGAAAGCGGCUUUUUGGCCUGCAACUGACACUGAGGCGCGAAAGCGUGGGGAGCAAACAGG